ACAGAUUUAAGUUAAGUUUAAACUAUUGGUCUUCAAAACCAAAAAUGUUAUUCUGUA
rnacentral:tRNA from 3 species